rnacentral:lncRNA from 1 species
CCAGCUGCCUCACGGCCUCCUCCGCCACACCUCUCCUUCCUUUAGAAAAGGAAUGGCAAGGCCCCAACAUUUUCCUUUUGAAAAUACAUUGGAAGAACAACUUUGUCUCUUAGCCUUUUCAGUACUGUCCCUUUCCCCGCAAGCCAGCAAACCCCAGAAAGAGACUGAUCACAUUUUCAAGCCUGCUGGUGCCUACCAGUGGCAGCAAGGACGCCCCCAGAUGGGCAAGCGGCCUCGCGUGUCCACGGACAGCGGUUCUUUCUACAUGUUUGGGCCUGGGUCCUUGGACCAGUCCAAAACUCAAAUGAAAGCCUCGGACCACAUCUGCGAACCCCCUGGCUGGCCAGUCCUCCCCACCGCUGUGCACAACAGGGAGAAAGACGCGAACGAGGGCACACACACACACAGAGACAGAGAUCACCGGACACACGCCAACAAAGACACACAGCUAUGAACGGGCACGGGCUCGGCGGCCUCCCCGCCCCGGCGGAUGGUGGUGGCGCGGUCGCAGAGGUACAGGGAGUAACAGUAAAUACCAACAAGGACGGAGACGCUUAUCAAGUCUGCCGGCAGCCUGACAGAUGCUCUCGGGCUGGGGAAGGCACUUAGGACAAUCAUUGCUCCUAAAAGAGAAAAUGAUUAUACGCUACCCAAACCCUAAGUACAAGCUAAAGAUAUUCACCUCGUUGAAGCCAUUCCUCAACUAGCCCCUUGGCACUUGCUGGAAUGAUUCGCAGCACGAGCUCUACUUUCUCAUUUUCUGCUGACUCCAUGUGGGUAAUUCCUUUCUCGUGAUUAAAAGUGAGCUUGGCAGAGCCUUCAAAGCGGCCGUAGGUGUGGGGAGGCUCCCAGGGCAUCCUUUGUCUGAGGCAGGUGGCUAAUCAUUCAUCAGUGGCCGGACGGGCGGGCCCGGGGAAUAGUCAGGCACCUACAAAUAAUUUUUUAAAGGCAAACUUUAUAGAGAGCUUUAUGUAAACAUAUUUUUAUAAUAAAACAUGCAGUGGACGGAUGAAAUGAACUGUU